rnacentral:rRNA from 1 species
CCUACGGGUGGCUGCAGUGGGGAAUAUUGGACAAUGGGGGGAACCCUGAUCCAGCCAUGCCGCGUGUGUGAAGAAGGCCCUCGGGUUGUAAAGCACUUUCAGUGAGGAAGAACGCCUGGUGGUUAAUACCCAUCAGGAAAGACAUCACUCACAGAAGAAGCACCGGCUAACUCCGUGCCAGCAGCCGCGGUAAUACGGAGGGUGCGAGCGUUAAUCGGAAUUACUGGGCGUAAAGCGCGCGUAGGUGGCUUGAUAAGCCGGUUGUGAAAGCCCCGGGCUCAACCUGGGAACGGCAUCCGGAACUGUCAAGCUAGAGUGCAGGAGAGGAAGGUAGAAUUCCCGGUGUAGCGGUGAAAUGCGUAGAGAUCGGGAGGAAUACCAGUGGCGAAGGCGGCCUUCUGGACUGACGCUGACACUGAGGUGCGAAAGCGUGGGUAGCAAACAGGAUUAGAUACCCGUGUAGUC